CCUACGGGAGGCUGCAGUGGGGAAUAUUGCACAAUGGGGGAAACCCUGAUGCAGCGACGCCGCGUGAGUGAAGAAGUAUUUCGGUACGUAAAGCUCUAUCAGCAGGGAAGAAAAUGACUGUACCUGACUCAGAAGCCCCCGCUAACUACGUGCCAGCAGCCGCGGUCAUACGUAGGGGGCAAGCGUGAUCCGGAUUUACUGGGUGUACAGGGAGUGUAGACGGCAGCGCAAGUCUGGAGUGAAAUCCCAUGGCUUAACCAUGGAACUGCUUUGGAAACUGUGCAGCUGGAGUGCAGGAGAGGUAAGCGGAAUUCCUAGUGUAGCGGUGAAAUGCGUAGAUAUUAGGAGGAACACCAGUGGCGAAGGCGGCUUACUGGACUGUAACUGACGUUGAGGCUCGAAAGCGUGGGGAGCAAACAGGAUUAGAUACCCCUGUAGUC
rnacentral:rRNA from 1 species